ensembl:snRNA U2 U2 spliceosomal RNA
AUCGCUUCUCGGCCUUUUGGCUAAGAUCAAGUGUAGUAUCUGUUCUUAUCAGUUUAAUAUCUGAUACGCCCCGAUUCGGGGCAACGAUAAACCCAUUUUUAGAACAGGGAGCUGAAUAAGGGGCUCGCUCCGUUCGCUCCCACGCAUCGACCCGGUAUUGCAGCGCCUCGGGAACGGUGCCCCUUUG